rnacentral:misc_RNA from 1 species
UCGUAAAGGUGCAUGAGUGGUGUUUGGUUUGUUACGUGUGGUUGGCUGCGGCGUUUGCAACAACUUCCAUGCUUUCAGACCUCUUCAUUUGUGCGGCAAGGCUUGUAUCGCCUUCAGCGUAUUGUGGGUUUUCUGUGUUGAAUACCUAAUCAAUGGUAUCGGUUGGAUUGAUCAAUGUUUCAUUUCGUCUGUCGUCGCAUUCGCGGCGUGAGAUGAACCUUGAUGCGGUCUCUUUGAUCCACCUUGUUGAAGCGCAUGCUUUGACGUUGUGGCGCAUUGAGCAUCGCUUGGUCUCUUGUAUGCGGAACAUGUAGCGGGCAUGAAUCUCACGAUUCUCGUUUGCCCUCAUAUUAGCGUAACGCUUCUCUUACACGACUUGCUCCACGUUUUAGCAUGUACGGACGUGGUGCUAUGAAGAGG